AGACCCUGCUCGUGCAGUCCGGCAAGCCCGUCGGCGUCUUCCGCACGCACGAGUGGGCGCCCCGGGUGCUCAUCGCGAAUUCCAAUCUCGUCGGGGACUG
rnacentral:tRNA from 1 species